rnacentral:rRNA from 2 species
AACUUUCAACAACGGAUCUCUUGGUUCCGGCAUCGAUGAAGAACGCAGCGAAAUGCGAUACGUAAUGUGAAUUGCAAAUUCAGUGAAUCAUCGAGUCUUUGAACGCACAUUGCGCCCCCUGGUAUUCCGGGGGGCAUGCCUGUCCGAGCGU